GACGAACGCUGGCGGCGUGCUUAACACAUGCAAGUCGAACGGAAAGGCCCUGCUUUUGUGGGGUGCUCGAGUGGCGAACGGUUGAGUAACACGUGAGUAACCUGCCCUUGACUUUGGGAUAACUUCAGGAAACUGGGGCUAAUACCGGAUAGGAGCUCCUGCUGCAUGGUGGGGGUUGGAAAGUUUCGGCGGUUGGGGAUGGACUCGCGGCUUAUCAGCUUGUUGGUGGGGUAGUGGCUUACCAAGGCUUUGACGGGUAGCCGGCCUGAGAGGGUGACCGGCCACAUUGGGACUGAGAUACGGCCCAGACUCCUACGGGAGGCAGCAGUGGGGAAUAUUGCACAAUGGGCGGAAGCCUGAUGCAGCAACGCCGCGUGCGGGAUGACGGCCUUCGGGUUGUAAACCGCUUUCGCCUGUGACGAAGCGUGAGUGACGGUAAUGUGUAAAGAAGCACCGGCUAACUACGUG
rnacentral:rRNA from 1 species